GACGAACGCUGGCGGCGUGCCUAAUACAUGCAAGUAGAACGCUGAGGAGAGGAGCUUGCUCUUCUUGGAUGAGUUGCGAACGGGUGAGUAACGCGUAGGUAACCUGCCUUGUAGCGGGGGAUAACUAUUGGAAACGAUAGCUAAUACCGCAUAACAAUGGAUGACACAUGUCAUUUAUUUGAAAGGGGCAAUUGCUCCACUACAAGAUGGACCUGCGUUGUAUUAGCUAGUAGGUGAGGUAAUGGCUCACCUAGGCGACGAUACAUAGCCGACCUGAGAGGGUGAUCGGCCACACUGGGACUGAGACACGGCCCAGACUCCUACGGGAGGCAGCGGUAGGGAAUCUUCGGCAAUGGGGGCAACCCUGACCGAGCAACGCCGCGUGAGUGAAGAAGGGUUUCGGAUCGUAAAGCUCUGUUGUAAGUCAAGAACGGGUGUGAGAGUGGAAAGUUCACACUGUGACGGUAGCUUACCAGAAAGGGACGGCUAACUACGUG
rnacentral:rRNA from 1 species